GUGCUCACUUUGGGAGAACUGGUACUAAAAUUGGGACAGUGCCGAGAAGAUUAGCAUGCGCCCUGUACAAGGAAGACUUGCAAAUUCCUGAAGUGUUCAAUAAAAAC